rnacentral:lncRNA from 1 species
AAACAACAUCUUGCAAAAAUGCAAAGUAAGGUUUUGAACAAUAGACCAAAUGUGUUCGGCCCCUCUCUAGACCCCACACAUAGUGGGAGGUUAGUGCACCGGGCUGCCCUUAUUUUUAUAUAUCUUGUUUCAAAAUUUCUUAACUGAUCAUGGGAUGUUUGGAAAUAUAACCUUUCUUUAUUAAUUUAGAUGCUAUGUUCUAGCAUCACUCUGGUGUGUUUGUCUGGCUCUUUCUCUAGGUUGGGCAUAAGUGUGUGUGCUUCUAGCUUGUAAAAUGUAAAAUCAAAAGCUGAUAACAGGAGAAUCUUAGUAGUCCAGUUGAUUGGCUACUUGAAUUUUCACCUUGUUGGUGGGGGUUCGAUUCCCCUCCUUGCAAUAUCUUCCCCCAUUUCCCCUUCCCCUCCUGCUAUGCACAAUGAAAAAAAUGAUAACAAUAACUAUAUAAGAGCUGUAACAUUACCGAGAUAUGGUGUGUUUCUCACGUAGAAAGAUGACCAUUGUGUCGUUUCUUCUUGACUUAUUAGUGAUGAUAUCUUUUUGAUUCCCUCUUCAAUUCAGUUCUAGGAAUUGGGUCUUAUGUGAACAACACAUACUGAAGAAGAUGAGUGAGUCUAAGAAUUGGUUGGUUAGUAGAAAUCAUGAUCUAAGGAAGCAAGGAUCAAAUGAGGGAUUUUUUCAAACAUGUAAACUUGAGAAAUUAGCUGUACUAAAAUUUGUUGCCGCUGGUAUGUUCAACUUGUGUGAUUUCAGAUUCAGCAAUCCAUUUAUGUCAUGUGACUUCAGAUUGAAAUACUAUUGGGAAUUCCCUUUCCAGUAAGUCCAGUAGUACUCUUGUCACCUGACGCGUUUGGGUACAGUAACGUAUAAGGCAUCUGUAUAGGUCCUUUUCGGUUCUUCAAUGUAUUGUCGUUGUUCCUAUCCAUUAUUCUGUUCUCGAUUUCUACCAGUUUGUCAUGGAAUCCCUCAAAUGCAUGUCGUGGUUUACUAUCAGAAGUCCAUUCAGGAGCAUCUCUUUGUCCAAGAUAAAUCUCAUCUGAAGAAUGCAUGGAUAACAUCUCUAUCAAAGAGAUGCCAAGAAGAGUUUGGAACUGGGCUGUGAUGGUCUUUAGGUAGGCUCGCUCAUGGUUUGACUCAAGCUCAACAUACUCAGGAGUGCCUGGCAUUGGCAUAAAGCGCCGGCUUACGGUUGGGCGAUUUGGGAGAUAACCAGCAUAAGGAUAUUGCCCAAAAUUAACUGCUGCAUGAAGAGCAGAAGCCACCCAUAUGAUUAUGGUGCAUGUUUGGACAAGCUCAGCUCUUGUCUGCAUCUGAGGCCACCAUGGUUCAUCUUUCAAGUCACCAUGACCCACGUUGCGAACUUCUGUCCACCAUGAUUGAAGUUCAGGAUCAUCUUGGAUCAUUUCAUCCGCUAUGUAAUAGAAUGAGCAAUACUCUUCCACCCAGGUUUCAAUUGCUGACCAAAUCUCAAGUCCAUCAACGGCGUAAGGAUAAUCCUCUAUCAGAAGUCUAAGGCCAUGAGGCUGGCUUGGGUCUGGUACUGCAACUCCUCUAUAAAUUAAAAAUAAUUGAGAGCAUUACUUGGACAAGAUGGAUAUGACAUUGAAUUUUAAGCUGUAACAACUAGUGACCUACCUCUUAAGUAGAUCUGCAGGGAGUGCCUGCUCAGUGAACACCCAAUUCUUAUAGAUGGAAGAAGACAUUUCCAUGGCAUACUUGGAUGGAAAUACUGUCAACUCAAGUAUUCCACCUGCAUUAAUGAGGAUCUGCCGAGCCAAAGCAUUGAUGUUCAUUGUAUCACGGAAGUGGGGAUGUAGAAGCUUAUAGAUUGGAUGAAGCACACUCAAUUGUCUGUUUGUUGCUAUAAUAAAUGGCUCUAAAGCUGCAUGGGUAUUCAACCUGCAAAGUAUGUAACAAAAUUAAUGUAGUGACUUCAAGAGGUGACCUGCUUCUAUAGUUUCUACCUUUUCAUCUGCUUUGUUAAGUAGCUCACCAGUGACUGACGAGCUGAUGAUACCCAGAAUCAUUUACAGCAACAUAGGCUUUAGCCAGAUGCCAGACAUAGCCUUCAGCACUCUCAUCAUUACAUGGGGUAAAUACUUGACUGCUGGAACCAUGUUUAUCUCCUUGUGGGUGUGGUAAGCUCAGUUCGAUUGCAAGUGGCUUCAAUGUUCCAUCAUCUUGGAGUAAAAGGAGGGUCCGACUAGCAUAGAUCUUAUUGGAUGUUGAGUUAAUCCGAUUAAGAUAAGGCAUAAGCCCGUCAUGAUAAUCUAAGAUGAAUAGCCUGUUAUACUUUAUUGCCUGUGACCACAAAAGAUAAAUGUGUAAAAUAUAUAGAAUCUAAAAUGGAAACAGAUGAAUAGUUUCCAUAUACAAAGGAUGCCUUGGUUUUCUCUUCCUUUCUUUAUGAUAAAUCACCAGAAAAAAGUUGGUCCUCAGAAAAAGAAAAAAAAAACAGAAAAAGAAAUGAAGAAUGAGUAUUACAUCAUCCACAGUUAGUCCAUCCAUGUAUUUCUCAAUCUGCUCUCUUGUGAUUUUACUAGUUUGGUUGCCAUAUACUUCAGGAUUUAGCUUGCUUGUGGGUGGAAAUUCCUGAUAGGCAUUUAGUCUUUUAGUAUCUGCAUUCAAAGAGUACAAAAACACAUAGAAAAGAUAAAAAAAUUCGUAAUUGAUAUUACCUGGAGACGCUGGAUAAUCACAGGAUUGACUCCAGCCAGCAUUUCACGUCCAAACUCUUCAUCUGUCCUCCAUGCAGAGUUAUCUUCUGUAUUUUUUUUUUUUUUGGGAAAGGGUUCACAAUUAAUUUACUUUUUCACCUUAGGAAGUACUCAGAGGCUAAAGUAGUUGUGGAGCCAGAGAAAGAGAACACAUAAGCACCUUUAAUUACAUGAGGAAUUGGAAAUUUAUGAAGUUGUCCUUUAAGCAUCUCCCAUGGCAUGCUUUCCGUGGAGUUAUCAGGAACUCGACCUUUAUAGACUUUUUGUACAUGUUUGAAGCUGUUAAACUCAUUAAAAGGUUUGGCUAACAGAGAUGCAAGCUGUGGAAUUAUGACCCGACCCAUUGAUUUGGCACCAUAUCGAAGGAAAUCCAUAAAUUUCACAUGGUUGAAACGUUCAUCUCGUGGAACAUAAAUGUUCAAACUCAGAAGUGGAAGCCGGCUCUCUAAGCUAGAAUCUGUAACAGCAAACUUAACUCUUUCAACAUGUUCUAUUAGUGGUUCUAAGACAACACCUGGAAAUAUGAUGACAUUAAUAUGUUUGCAGCCUAACCUCUUUUAGUCAGUGGACGGCCCGUUCUUCCCCUUCGGGGGUAUGGAUAAUCCUUUCCCCCACCAAGCACUGGUCGACCAUGUCCUAAAUCAUUGUAGACUGCAUAGUCGUAAACCCUGUCCCAUUCCUCGAGUUUGCCAGAACCUGUACCCUGAAGAUUAAUGAGCUCCUCAUUCCUGUAUGGCCGAAGGGGUUCUGGUGUGUUGCAUGGCAGGUAUGUCUGAUAACACCAAAAAUUAGAGAUUCAGUCUCUAUCAUGAUCCAUAAGUUUGAAUUAAAUCCUGUACGCACGACUUGGUUAAGAUUUAGUAUGUCAGUGUAGGUAUAAUGUGAGAUUAGAGAACUUCAACUAGUUUGGAUUGAGGAAUAGUUGAUUGAUUGAUAUGACAGUCUUAUUUUCAUCUAUAUAAAAACUCUAGGUUUACAUAGCCUUCUAUCCUGUCAUACUUUAGGACUGUCAUCAUAAUCCUGUAAGUCAGGAAGUUCAGAACUAUUUUGAAGAGGAACAUAUCUUAUUUAACUUGAAAAUGUAUUUUUUUUUUUUUUUGUGUAUCUGGGAAUCAUACAGUUAGGUUUAACCUAUCAGUAUGUAUUUUUUGCCUAGAAAAUUGAAGUGCAUCCUCAACCUUAGUGCUUUCUUCUGCAAUUACGUGUAAUAAGCUCUGCCAGUUCCUGUUGAGUGAUUACAAUGUUUUGCAGGCAUCAUAUAGAUUCCUGGAGUAAGGUUAAGAAAUAUGAAUACCUUGUUGCUAAAAAACACCCGAUCGUACUUGUAGCGAUGUGCUGGAUACACCCAAGAAUUGCAGACGAAACGAACUUCACCAUGUCCGGGAAUAUCUUCUAAAGCAACGGUCUUCAGGUAAAACUGGCUAUGAUGAUAGUUCUUUAUAAUGAAAGCACCUGGAACUCCUAUUGACUCAUCCAACUCAAAUGUAAUAUUGAAUGUAGCUUCUUCCACUGAUAUCCAAGUCUUGCUGGAUGUCCAGUCCAAAAUUGCUGGUUUUCCCACCUUCCCUUUUGAUCCAUUUCCUUUAAGAAUGAAAAAAAAAAAUUGUGCUUCAAUGUUACUGUACAGAAUAACAUACAUUCUGCAUUUAUUGCAUUAAGGCUUCCAAAUUAAUCCGAAGUAGUUGAUUUCAAACAUUUAAACGACUGCAGAGAAGGAACUAUCAAGGUUUUCUUAUGGUAUUUUUGCUUCUAAAUGGGAGGAAACCAGGGAAAUAAAACCUUUAGAUUUAUUCUGCUGCUUACUUUCGCAAAAUUUGUUGGUGAAAAUGGAAUAACCAGGCAUUCAGAAUUCAGGUAGUGGAGGUUCAGGAGUUAAAAUUUUGAAACUCCAGAAUAAGAGUUUGUUACUAAAAUGGCGUCGGAGGUUUAAUGAUUUUAACAAUGAACUAUGGAACAAUGUUAUAACCAUUAAAUAUAUGGUAAGAAUGAGGAGAGGUGCACUAACAGUGUAAGAGGUGUGUAUGGUGUAUCUGUUUGGAAGCCUACUAGGAGUCUAUGGGAAGAAUUUUAUGACUGUUUAAGCUGAAAGUUGGCAAUGGAAGAAGAGUGAAGAUGUGGUCAAAUAGGUGGCUAUGACACUUCCUUAAUUGAGCAGUUUCCAGAUCUUUAUGCAAUCAUAUCGAACAAGCACUCUAUGGCUGAUUUCUACUUUUAUUUAAGAAGGAACUUGGAUGACUGGGAGAUUGAUUGCAUAAAUGACUUCAUUCAACAGCUAAAACCUGUCUCUAUUUGAUGAUCAGGUGGCUGAUUCUUUGUUGCGGACGGUUAAGAAAAUGGUAAAUGUACUGUCAAAGUAAUGUUAUAAAAGCCUCUUGAGGAAAAUAGGUGGAAUCCAUGACUGUUGACCGUGGAAGAUAAUCUGGAAAUCUAUUGUCCCCGUAGAGCUGCUUGCUCCACUGCACUGUUACCAAGAAAAUAUGGUCAAUGUUCCGGAGCAUUUUUGGAGUCCAAUUGGUUACGCCAGGAAGAAUAAAACUUGCCUUACACAGCUCGUAUGCACAGCCAUUUGCUAGGGGCAGCAAACACUGCUGCAAUGCAGUUCCUACUUGCAUAUUCUGAAUACUUGACUAGAUAGAAAGCAACAGAUGUUUUAAUGAUAAGAGUGAUAACAUUGCAAAUGUAAUAUCUAGAUGCUGUACGGAUCUUUCUUUGUGGUGUGGGAAGAACAUUGUAUCUGACAUAAUAACUAACAAGUAUAAUAACUAACAAGUUUGUUUGCAUCUCUUUGCUCAGCUCUAGGGAGAAAAUGUAAAUUACCAGGAUCAGCAUGGACAUCACUAAUGAGCUCUAGGAUGACGCGUUUGCC